AACAACUCACCUGCCGAAUGGACUAGCCCUGAAAAUGGAUGGCGCUGAAGCGGGUGGCCGAGACCACACCGUUUGACGAAUUGGCAACUCGUCGAAUGAGUAGGAGGGCGUGGCGGCCGUGGAGAAGCCGGUGGGCAAUCACUGGUGGAACGGCCGCGAGUGCAGAUCUUGGUGGUAGUAGCAAAUAUUCAAGUGGGUGAACAAACCUUGAAGGGUGAAGCGGGGAAGGGUUUUAUGUGAACAUUGAUUGGGCAUAAGUGAGUCGUUCCUAAGCUGCUGGUUUAUUCUCUCGGGAAUUUUUCUGGCGAAAGGGAAGCAGGUUGACAUUCCUGCACACGGAUGUGGAGGCGGUGACGCCGUUUGAGACAAACACGUUGGCGACAGCUCUGGGCAGAGUUAUCUUUUCUGUUUGACGUCAGGGUGCGCUGUGUGGAAUCCGCUUGUCGGGAGAAACACGCGUGCCCGGGCAGAGCGCCGGACUUUUCCGGCGUCCAGAUCGCUGUCGACAGCCCUUGAAACUUUGUCUGCUGAAGUGAACAAUCCACGCCGUGACGUACCGAUAACCGCAUCAGGUCCCCAAGGUGAACAGCCUCUACUCAAUAUGAACAAU
rnacentral:rRNA from 1 species